UACAGAGGAGCCAAGCGUUGUCCGGAUUGACUGGGCGUAAAGCGCACGCAGGCGGACGCGCGCGUGGGUGUGAAAUCUGGCCGCUUAACGGCCAGGCGCCAUCCCAUACGGCGCGUCUGGAGUGAUGCAGAGGUCGAUGGAAUUGCCGGUGUAGUGGUGAAAUGCGUAGAGAUCGGCAGGAACACCCAGGGGGGAAACCAGUCGACUGGGCAUCUACUGACGCUGAGGUGCGAGAGCGUGGGAGCGAACCGG
rnacentral:rRNA from 1 species